rnacentral:rRNA from 1 species
UACGGAGGAUACGAGCGUUAUCCGGAUUCAUUGGGUUUAAAGGGUGCGCAGGCGGACGCGCAAGUCAGUGGUGAAAUCCCCCGGCUCAACCGGGACCGUGCCUCUGAUACUGCGCGACUGGAGAAUGAGUGGCGUGGCCGGAAUGUGACGUGUAGCGGUGAAAUGCAUAGAUAUGUCACAGAACGCCGAUCGUGAAGACAGGCCACGAACUCAUGGCUGACGCUCAUGCACGAAAGCGUGGGUAUCAAAC